AGAGAGAGAGAGAGAGAGAAGAGGAGAGGAGAGGAUGGAGAAGGAGAGAGAGCAGCAGGUUUACUUGGCGAGACUUGCAGAGCAAGCCGAGAGAUACGAUGAGAUGGUUGAAGCAAUGAAGAAAGUUGCUAAGUUGGAUGUAGAAUUGACAAUUGAGGAGAGGAAUCUGGUGUCAGUAGGUUACAAAAAUGUCAUUGGAGCAAGAAGAGCAUCUUGGCGGAUAUUGUCUUCCAUUGAACAAAAGGAGGAGGCGAAGGGGAAUGAACAAAAUGUGAAGAGGAUAAAGGAGUAUCGGCAGAGAGUUGAAGAUGAGCUCUCAAAGAUCUGCAAUGACAUAUUAUCAGUAAUUGAUCAACAUCUUCUACCCUCCUCCACCACAGGGGAAUCCACUGUUUUUUACUAUAAAAUGUGAGAUUUUCGCUCUCUUGUUGUUUGGCAUUCAAGUUAUCAUGAAAUGAUGAGAAAUGCAUUUUAAGAUGGGGGGAAUGACUUUAUGGGCUUAGAAAUUUUAGAAGGAUGGAGCAUAGAAGGUCAGAAAAUGUAGCUUUGAUUUAGAUUAAUUCGGUGUUUGCAAGGGAUCAAUGGUGCCAAAGUCAUUGAUGUAGAAUAAGCAUUGGAAAGCAAUGUGAGUUUUCUAACAUUUUUAUUCAUUUGAUAUAAAAGUCACAGACAUGAAGGGGAUUUUGGUCUAAAAACUGUAUUUGGGUUCUUUUAUUUCACAUACUGCUUUUUACUACCGGUUUGUUAUUGUGCAGUUGUUUAUGGAAUACAUUUUGUUCUUUCUAGUCUAUAUUUAUUGGCUUAGAAUCUGCAUGUGGAUGUACAUCUCUUAUUUUAUAAUUUCCAAUAUUACACUUAUCACUUAUGAUACAUUUGUAAAUUCCUUUGUUUUCUUUUUGGGGCAGGAAAGGAGACUAUUAUCGCUAUUUAGCUGAGUUUAAAGCUGAUGAUGAUCGUAAAGAAGCUGCGGAUCAGUCCCUCAAGGCUUAUGAGGUGUUUGCAAUUCUCCUUCUGUUGGAAUUUCUCUUCCUCUAUAUCAUUCUGUCAUUUUGAAACAUCUAAUAUGAAGGUAAAUAAUUGAUCAUUUGAUAAAAUUACUGCAUCUAUUCUUUACGCUUUAGGCUGCCACCUCUACUGCAAGCUCAGACCUGCCCCCUACUCAUCCAAUCAGACUUGGCCUGGCUCUUAACUUUUCUGUUUUCUACUAUGAGAUUUUGAACUCCUCUGAAAGGUUAAUAUGCAGCUCUCUCUUUUUCUCAAUCUCUUCCUCAAAAUAGGCACAAAAUUUUUUUUACAUGUUUAGGCCUGUGAACAUGUGGAACUCUCAAUACUGUUUUUGCUGUAACUGCUGUGAUAUUUGGAGUGUAUUUUGAACUAUUAUCUGUGUUGUGUAGGGCCUGCCAUCUGGCCAAACAAGCAUUUGAUGAAGCAAUAGCGGAACUCGAUAGCCUUAAUGAAGAAUCUUACAAGGACAGCACCCUUAUCAUGCAGCUUCUGAGGGAUAAUCUCACUUUGUGGACCUCAGAUCUGCCAGAGGAGGGAGGUGAGCAAUCUAAAGGUGAUGAACCUCAAGCUGAGGUAAGCCAAGAUUGAACUUUGUGAAUGUUAUAUUCGUGCAACUUACUUGUAUAUGCUAUAUCAUGUGAAGUAUUUCUAUUAAAGAGACUAAGUUAGGUGAGAGUAAAGGAUAUGUUUGAAUAUACAUGCUUUUCCAGGUGAAAUACAUUGGACUUUGGAAGCAUUUUUCUAAAUAUAAGUCCACUAAUGUUGUGGGCAAAUGAUAUUUUUAUUAUAAGAAUAUAUGUAUCUGGGAUUUGAAUUUCGGACGACAAAAUCUAAGAGGCUUUGAUACAAUGUGAAACAAGUAGUCAACUUAAAAAUGUAAGCUUUAUAGUGAGGAUAGGAUAGUUUUUGUUUCCAUUCAAGUUAUUGCUUGGUUAGCAUGUUGGGAGUUUUUCGAAUUGUCAUUUAAUUUACUGGAUGGCAUUACAUUUCUUAUUUUUUAUCCUUUAUUGACCACUUACGAGCAUUGAUCAUGCAGAAUUAGUUGGGAUAGAAGAGAUCGAUUCUUUCAGACUGGGUUCGUUGGAGAGGAAAGGAUAAAGCUAGUGGCCAUUUUAGUAUUAGUACAGGGAUUGAUGGACCAUUUAUCUUGUAUCUAUUUGCUCAGAGCAGAUGCUUCCAGACUAUUGUUAUUUCAUUUCUUCUUUGCCCUCAGAACAUAAUUGAACUUGUUACUUACAUGUUUGUGGUGUACUUUUUAAAUCCAUAGCUUUAAACACUAGCAUGCCAAUUUAUUUUCUUUGAAGUAUGCCAUUUUAUUCCCCCCACCGCCACCAAAAAAAAAAGUGUGCCAUUUUCGCAAAAAAAAAAAAAAUUUCCCUUUGAUAUGCCUAUUUCUUUUCUUUCGCUCAAGAAAGUUCUGGUCUCACAAGAGAGUUUGGAGCUUUUGGUGUUGCUUAUCUGUUAUUUGAUAUUGUAUUGUAUCAAUUAUGAGACUAAGAGUGCUGGAUUACAAUGUCAUAUUUUGAUUGGGAAAGUGCAGGAGGUUAAUUGAAAAUCCAGAAGUACAUUAACUAUGCACUGUGAAAAAAGUGUCAAGUAAUGUCAUGGUAAAGUCAUUGGGAAUUCCAGUGUGAAAGAAGGAUGAACGAUAAUAUUAUGGGAGCGCCAAAAAAUUGCGUUGUAUUUUUUGUUCUGAAUCCCAUUAGUCUACCACAGAAGUUAAAUCGUUUUCAGGAACCUCUCACCUCACCAACUCUAACUUCUGUUUAAUCAAAUGUUGUUUUGAAAAUUUGAAGCUGAGCUGUCUCUGGAGGAAGUUGCCUAUCAAUCAGGAACGAUUUCAAAAGCUUGAUGUACUCCUUUGGCCUCUCUACAUUGACGGCGUGCCCUGCAUUCUUGAUGACCGCCAGAUGGGCAUUGUCCCACAGAUGCCUUUUUAAUCUGUGACCCAGUUCCAAUGGAAAAAUUCGAUCAUUUUCUCCCCAGAUUAUCAGCGUUGGCUGGGUGAUCUUGGGAACGUCCAAAAGCUUUCUGUCUUUAGGAAUAGCUCGGAUCAAUUCUUUCUUCUCUUCCACAUAAUCUCUGCACAUUGCAUCAAUGAAAUCAAUGAAGAAGCAAUCAGGGAUCAAUACCACAGGAGGCGGCCUAUAAAACGUAAAACCCACCAACUCUCUCAGCUUAUCUGGUUUCAAUGGCACCAAAAUACUUGCAGCCUCUUCCAAAUCCGAAACUGUAAAAACCCCUUCCCUCAAAUCCUUCUCUUCCAUACAAAUCCCAGAACAACACAACACCACUCUCUCCACAGCUUCCUUGUACUGCGCCGCUAUACAGUACCCAACGAACCCACCGUAACUAAGCCCAACCAAGCUCAGCUUCCGCACCGAGUAGGCCUCCAUGACUCGCAUGACGCACUGCGCUUGGAACGACUCGUUCCGCUCCGGCCGAGUGGUGAACGACUCGCCGAAGAAGACUAAGUCAGGAACGUAGACGUUGAAGCAAGGAGUGAAGUGGCGGAUGACAUCAACCCACUGCCACAAUGCGUUAGCGCCUAAGCCAUGAAUAAGGAGGAGAUUAGGUUUGGUGUCAGCUGGGACGUUGGGGACCCAGCAGUGCAUUACGGUGCCGUCUUUGAUGUCCGUGAUGGUGGAUCGGAGCCCCAGUUUGGUGAAAGUGGAUCUAUGGCACCAGUUCUUAGCCUCUGUGAAGCUAAAACACCUUGACAUUUUUCUAGAAAGAAAUAGACCAGAACUAAUUUAAAAAAGAAAAAAAAAAGGAAGGAAACAGUUGGACAGGAACGUGUUAAUGAACUAAUUGGCUAUUAGAUACGUGUUUUUAAUGAUCAAUUAGUGGAGCAUUGAUGUGAUGGGUUUGGUAUAAAAAUAGGAUAAGAACACAAAUUUUCAGAUUUUUUUAGAUUUUGGACUUGAAAAAGAAAAGUGAAAAGAGUAGCAGAGAUGGGGAAGAAAGGAAAGAGAACUGAAACAGGAGGCAAGUGCAAUGCAGUGCAGGCCAUGAGGCCAUUGGGGGCAAAUGGCCCUCACAACUCUUUGUUCCAUCCCAUCCCAUUCCUGAAACCAAAACAAGCAAAAAAAGAGAAGAAUUUGUGAUGAUAAAUUGUAGCUGGUAUACAGUCUAAUCACCAUUCAAUUCACGUGUCUAGAUUAAUAAUAUGGUUAGUGAAUGAAUCAAAUGAAAUAUGGGAACUGUCUCAAACAUAAUAUGGGAACACUGUCUUCCUUACAGCUGCAGCCUGCAACUGGCUUGAGUAUUAAAUAGCACAUGUAAUUGCAGAAAAUUGCUUUCCUAAAAAGGAAAAGUGGGUUUGAUUAAAAAAAAAAAGUGGGUUAAUUAAUCAUAAAUGGAGGAUAAAUAUGGGGCACAAAAUGAAAAUGAACAGUUUUUGGUAAAGCUAAAAGCCGAAGGGGCAAUAACCAGCAAAGAAGAUGAAUGAUGUUG
rnacentral:misc_RNA from 1 species